UACAGAGGGUGCAAGGGUUAAUCGGAAUUACUGGGCGUAAAGCGCGCGUAGGCCGUCGAGUAAGUCGGAUGUGAAAUCCCCGGGCUUAACCUGGGAAUUGCAUUCGAUACUGCUUGGCUAGAGUGUGGAAGAGGGAAGCGGAAUUUCCGGUGUAGCGGUGAAAUGCGUAGAUAUCGGAAGGAACACCAGUGGCGAAGGCGGCUUCCUGUUCCAACACUGACGCUGAGGCGCGAAAGCGUGGGGAGCGAACAGG
rnacentral:rRNA from 1 species